GAAGAUGACGAGUGGCGCACGGGUGAGUAACGCGUAUACAAUCUACCUUUUACAGGGGGAUAGCCUUUAGAAAUGAAGAUUAAUAUCCCAUAGUAAGUUAUUGUUGCAUGAUGAUAACUUUAAAGCUUCGGCGGUAAAAGAUGAGUAUGCGUUCUAUUAGUUAGUUGGUGUGGUAACGGCACACCAAGACUACGAUAGAUAGGGGCCCUGAGAGGGGGAUCCCCCACACUGGUACUGAGACACGGACCAGACUCCUACGGGAGGCAGCAGUGAGGAAUAUUGGACAAUGGGCGAGAGCCUGAUCCAGCCAUGCCGCGUGCAGGAAGACUGCCCUAUGGGUUGUAAACUGCUUUUAUACAGGAAGAAACCUUUUCACGUGUGAAAAGCUGACGGUACUGUAAGAAUAAGGAUCGGCUAACUCCGUGCCAGCAGCCGCGGUAAUACGGAGGAUCCAAGCGUUAUCCGGAAUCAUUGGGUUUAAAGGGUCCGUAGGUGGAUAAUUAAGUCAGGGGUGAAAGUUUGCAGCUCAACUGUAAAAUUGCCUUUGAUACUGGUUAUCUUGAAUUAUUGUGAAGUGGUUAGAAUAUGUAGUGUAGCGGUGAAAUGCAUAGAUAUUACAUAGAAUACCAAUUGCGAAGGCAGAUCACUAACAAUAUAUUGACACUGAUGGACGAAAGCGUGGGGAGCGAACAGGAUUAGAUACCCUGGUAGUCCACGCCGUAAACGAUGGAUACUAGCUGUUCGGUUUUCGGACUGAGUGGCUAAGCGAAAGUGAUAA
rnacentral:rRNA from 1 species